rnacentral:tRNA from 1 species
GCCCAGUUAGCUCAGUUGGUAGAGCACGUCCAUGGUAAGGACGGGGUCGGCGGUUCGAGUCCGCCACUGGGCU